AUUGAACGCUGGCGGCAUGCCUUACACAUGCAAGUCGAACGGCAGCACGGGUGCUUGCACCUGGUGGCGAGUGGCGAACGGGUGAGUAAUAUAUCGGAACGUACCUUCUUGUGGGGGAUAACGCAGCGAAAGCUGUGCUAAUACCGCAUAAUCCCUAAGGGGGAAAGCGGGGGACCGUAAGGCCUCGCGCAAUUAGAGCGGCCUAUACCUGAUUAGCUAGUUGGUGAGGGAAAGGCUCACCAAGGCAACGAUCAGUAGCUGGUCUGAGAGGACGAUCAGCCACACUGGGACUGAGACACGGCCCAGACUCCUACGGGAGGCAGCAGUGGGGAAUUUUGGACAAUGGGGGCAACCCUGAUCCAGCAAUGCCGCGUGAGUGAAGAAGGCCUUCGGGUUGUAAAGCUCUUUUGUCAGGGAAGAAACAGCAGCUCUAACACAGUUUGCGAAUGACGGUACCUGAAGAAUAAGCACCGGCUAACUACGUGCCAGCCGCCGCAGUAA
rnacentral:rRNA from 1 species